GAUGAACGCUGGCGGCGUGCUUAACACAUGCAAGUCGAACGGUGAAGCAGGAGCUUGCUCCUGUGGAUCAGUGGCGAACGGGUGAGUAACACGUGAGCAAUCUGCCCUGGACUCUGGGAUAAGCGUUGGAAACGACGUCUAAUACCGGAUACGAGGCGUGGGGGCAUCCCCAACGCCUGGAAAGAACUUCGGUCCAGGAUGAGCUCGCGGCCUAUCAGGUAGUUGGUGAGGUAACGGCUCACCAAGCGUACGACGGGUAGCCGGCCUGAGAGGGGGACCGGCCACACUGGGACUGAGACACGGCCCAGACUCCUACGGGAGGCAGCAGUGGGGAAUAUUGCACAAUGGGCGCAAGCCUGAUGCAGCAACGCCGCGUGAGGGACGACGGCCUUCGGGUUGUAAACCUCUUUUAGCAGGGAAGAAGCGAAAGUGACGGUACCUGCAGAAAAAGCACCGGCUAACUACGUGCCAGCAGCCGCGGUAACAC
rnacentral:rRNA from 1 species